rnacentral:misc_RNA from 1 species
AAAUAGACAAAAUACAGUUUGUUUACAAGUGUACAGCUGAUGCCUGACGGUGGAGGUGGAUUAGGAGGCAGCGGUAGAAGAUUAUGUCUUUUUUCUGUCUGAUAUUAAAUUACAGGAUAUGGAAAAACUUUAACAUAGAUGUUCUAUAAGGCCAUGCAUUUAAUGUGAAAGUGCACAUAGGUAAGCAACAUGGGAGUCACUUCAGUGUGCUGCCUGGCCUCCCGAGUGUGGGCGAGGCACCUGAGGACUCAAGCUGCCAGCCAGCUGCCCCGGGGAAGCCAUCCCAGGCCUGAAGGGAGAGCCUCAGCCAAGGUUGUAUUGCCACUGACGGAGGAGGAUUUGCUGAAGAUAGCGGGAAACAGCUCAAGACAGAUGCAGCUUUUGGAAAGCACCAAAGAAAGUCACUCAAAGAAAACCGAACUUAAAUCUAUUGGUCUUAAAGAAAAGGGCAAGAAGGCAACUCCUCCUCCUCUUCCACCAGUCACUGAGGACAACCAGUUCCAGCGCCUUGCUGAGUCCGUCACUCCCCUGUGUGAGGUUCCAUACUUCAAGCAACUUGUGAUAAAAGAAAAGGAAUGCAAGAAAAUCCUUAAGGAACUGAGCCACAGGUUGUCUAAGGCUGGGCUACCAUUACAUAGAAACUUGAAGAAGCUGCCCUGUGUCCUUGAACCCACUAGGCCUUCACCAGAGUUGAUUGGAUACCGCAACAAAGAUGAGUUUGGGAUUCACUUUGGUGUUGAUGGCAACCCCAAGACUGUUGGCUUCUUCGUGGGGCGACCCUUGGAUCCGGAGAUGGUGUGUGUGCCACCCACCUUCCUCGUCAACAUGAGGGAGGAGCAUAAGCAGAUUGCACAGAGUUUCCAGAAGUUCAUCCGUCAGUCUCCCCACGAAGCCUGCCACCGCUUUGACACAGGCGGCGUGUGGCGGAACCUGGUGGUGCGCUCCACGGCCACCAGGAAGAAGAUGGCCUCUGUCAUCAUCCACCCUCAGGAGAUGCCCGAAGACGCCAUACAGGAAAUCAUGAAAGAUUUGCGCCAUUAUUUCUUCAACGGGGAAGGUUCUGAGUGUGAGCUGGACUCCUUGUACCUGCAGGCUUGCCCACACACACGCUGCACUCGAGAACAGGCACCAUAUCGCCUGGUGGCCGGCAAGGAGUGUAUCACAGAGACCUGCCUGGACCUCUCCUUCCAGAUCUCACCUGACUCAUUCUUCCAGAUCAAUACAAAGGGAGCUGAGGUUCUUUACAGCACUGUCAAGGAAAUAGCAGAAGUCUCCCCGGUCACCACCUUACUGGACAUUUGCUGUGGUACAGGUGAGGUCAUACAAGUUGCUGUAGGCCUCAGGAGGUGUGGUGCUCCUGACACUUGCUACCCAAACUACUACUUGUCUCAACACUCUUCUGGAAGGCAGCCUGUGGAUCCACACACACUAAUGUACGGUGAGUCUGGCCAUGGCACCGCAUGUCCGGGGCACCAUUGGCAUUGACGUCACCACCGGGGCUGUGGAGGACGCCAAGAAGAAUGCCACUCUUAACAACAUCAGCAAUGCCACCUUUAUUGCCGGCAGAGCUGAGAAGGUGCUGCCCCAGUUGACAACUGAGCUGGCCCAGUGUUCUGAUGUAGUGGCUGUAGUCAAUCCUGCAAGAGCUGGUUUGC